rnacentral:lncRNA from 1 species
GUGUGAAUCAUGGCAGCGCGGUGAGGCUGGUGAUUUACCGCUUUGGGAGGGCAUGCCUGAGUGUGAUUAAGGGCUGUGAGUGCGGGACUCCAAGAUUUACUUCCUUCCUGUUCCAGCAGGGUUACCUGAGGGACCCCAAGAGAAUGAGCGAGCCCUGGAGAUCUUUUCAAGGCUUCUGAGUCGGAACUCAGCCUUCAAACACAGAGGCGCCAAGCCCUUAAGCCACGCAGACUCCACAGCAGCUGCAGGAGGAAGCAGAUGGAGAGGGAUCCUCUAAAGAUCAAAGGUCCAGCCUUUCUGGGUCCCUCAGGCAGGUGAGGCGAGCCUGCAGGCAUGCUGUGGACCGCUGCAACUUGCUAGUCCCAGGGUCACAGCAAGUGGAAGUGCCGGGCACCACACAUGGCUUUGAGCAAAACCCACUUCCUCCAUCCCGGAGAGCAUGAAGCCGUUACACCACCAUCAAUCAAGGGGAACCCACGGGCUGCGCUCACACCGUUGAAGCAGGCGCCGGGCUGCGCUAUUUUGUGUUUCUUUCUUUUUUUUUUCUUUUCUUUCUUUUUUUUAAAUUCUGAAGCCAGACUGUCUUGCCUCCCAGCACCGGGGCUGCUUCGCCGUGGGCACGCCGAGCCUCCCGGUUACCUGCGUGGCUCCUGCGGCAUCUCCUGCCUGGGCUUCGCCAUAGUGCACUGGACCCGGACUCGCGAGUCUGCACCCAGCACAAGGAGGACCUGCUGGUGGAGCUCUGGCCAGGGUCUCCUCUCACCUGCUUGAGGGGACUUGGGAGCCAGGGCAAAGCUGCGGACAUCUCAGGGAGGGAUGGUAGAGGACGCAGAGGACCAGGAUGGGGAUGUUAGGAAUCCUAUGUUACCAAUGCCACCGGUGCUCUGCAGGGAGAGGACAGCUGCCUGCACCCAGCUCCGGCUGCUCUUAGGGAGUAAUCUGGAAAGACAAGCCAGGCUGAGGUGUGGUGGCCUUUCACCUGAGAGUGGAGCUGAAGAUGGAUAAACAAGGUAUCUGAUGUAUCUGCCUGGCAAGGCGGAGUUGGAGAAAAGCAGAGAGGAAUGCGUGAAGAGAAAGGAGAUGCUGACUGCUGUGUGAUUGCUGCUCACUCUGCGUUCUUAUUCUAGGGAAAAUGGCAUAAUUUAUAAGCCAGUACAUGGAUGGAGGAACUGUAAAUUGUAGUCUGGAUGUCCCCGGUGCUGUCAGAGAAGAAACUGAUGGGCUGGGUGGCUGUACUGUGUCCCCAGAGAAAACAGCUUUGCAGCAUGGAUUUAAAUGCAUGUGCGUGCAUGUAGAGACAUGGGGUGGGGAAGCGAUUUCUGACCAUUUUACACAGGAAGUCUGUCACUCUGCUGGAUCGGGUGUGAUUGCAGCUUGUGUUUUCAGUGCCAGCUUGACACCCAUCUCCUGACCAGCCAGAAAGCUCGGCCAAAGCAGCUGCAACCCGCCUCACUUUUAACUCCUUGAAGCUCUGUGCUCUGUGUGGUGCUAGGACUGAUGGAGUGGUUUUUGUUUUCUUCUUCCUCUUCUUCUACAAAUCCCUGUAAACACAGCUGUAUUCAGUAUGGAAAAAAAAUUUCUAGCCUGUAAAUAGAAAUGUGAUCAAUUUAAUCAAAAUAAAUAUAUACCAGAUGACUUCGACACCAGCUGGCUACCACAGGCUUCAGAUGCAGACUGCUCGGUAGAGAUGAACACAGCGUUAUAUUUACAUGUUUUAGAAUGCCAGGAUUAGCCUAUAAUUAAAGAAAGCAAGCCUCUUAUGAGGAAGAGAGGUGGUCCUUCCAGCUCACAGCUAGAUGGUUAGGCACAGGUGCGGAUGGCUGCCCUUCAUGUGACUGGGACGCAUGUGGUGUGGCGUUUCAGAGGGCUUGUGCCACAAGGCAGAGCAUGGCUGCCGUCAGCGUGGAGAAAGCUUGGCUCUGAGUUGCUGCUGUAGAAAGCUGAGCCUCUGCACAGUCUCUAGCGAGGCGGGGGAAAGUCACUCAGGCUUGUAGAUUCCAAACAGGGAGCUGCAGUGCCCUGUCCCAGCCUGGUGGAGUGUCACCACCCACCUGAGACAGAAAAGCUUUCGCAGUUGUCAUGGGGAGCUCAUUGGGGAUGCCUGUCUGGCCUCUCCACUGUUUGUUACCAAUUCUACAAAGGCAGUUCUGUGCUUUGGAUUUUGUUUGGCCAGCUGUUGGUGCAUUCCUGCGGGCGGGGUGGACGAGGAUCUUGUUACUGUACUUCCAAACUGUAGAUCUGUGUGCAGGCAGAGGAGGGAGGGAAGGAAAGAAGCCAGAGAGAGAGAGAAUCUGAUCGUUCAGAUGCCUUUCUCCAGAUAGUCCUAGAGUGAAUCGAGAAAGGCUUUAAAGUGAAAAGAAAGACAGAGCAAGAAGGGGACGAGAAAGGGACAAGGGAGAGAAGGAAACCGAGCAAGCCCAAAAGAGAAAAACAGAACUUCAAAGCUGCAUAGACAAGCACAAUGUCAGCAGCUUGUAAUUAGUGGUUCCUGGUUGCGUCAGUGACUACAUCUCUCCAAGAAUAACUCUGUGAUGUGUGCCACAAAGUGAAGAAGAUAGUCAUAACUAAAUUAUCAAACAGUUCAAACCAGGGCACAUGGAUUAAGGAGUUUUCUGUGUUUGUAAAUCAAAUAUGGAUGGAUUACAUGUACAGGAUUUGCUGAAUUCUGCACAACUGAAAGCUGAAUUAGCAAUGUGUGUGUGGAUAUGAGGGGUUUGUUUACUAGAUGAAAUGGGGAACUCUAAAGAUUUUUUUGUGCAAGCUCUAUCAGUGUACGAUAUUUCUCCAACUGGCCCCCCAACUGCACUGUCUGUCUCCUAUCUCUGCAUCCACAGAUUGCUUUUGUUUAUUCUUGUGCAUUUCAAUGGAGAUAAGUCAAAAGCUACAUUUGAGUAAAUAUGGACAAUGAGGUCUAAAACUCCCAUUUCAGAUUGCAAAAAUGACUACAGGGUUCUGAGUUUCAUUGGUAGCUCCAGCUUAAACCUUGAAAGAACUUUCGUUGUCCAGAAGCCAAACAGCAGUCUGUUAGUAAUUCUGGGGCAAGGCAGGGUAUUGUGGUUGUUGAGAUUUGAAGGCCACGUUCACAACCGUCCCUUGUCUCUUGUGCUUAGAGGUGUGGUGCUCUGAUAGCCUCUGCAGGAAUACAAUGGGAGGAGCUGAUUGGCUGGAAGGUUUAGGAUGUUUACUUGUAUUUGUUUUCACUGCCCCUCCAUGGCAUUCAUUGUGUAUUUGUAUUUGUGUUCAUGCUGCACAAUUACUCCUGACUGCUCUGUUUCUCUGCCCAAAGAGAAGUCAAUUUUAGUUCAGCU